rnacentral:rRNA from 1 species
UACGGGUGAGUAACACGUGGGUAAUCUACCUCUUAGUGGGGAAUAACCCUGGGAAACCGGGGCUAAUACCGCAUAAUCUCGAGAGAGGAAAGCAGCAAUGCGCUGAGAGAGGAGCCCGCGGCCGAUUAGCUUGUUGGCAGGGUAAAAGCCUACCAAGGCAUAGAUCGGUAGCCGGCCUGAGAGGGCACACGGCCACACUGGCACUGAAACACGGGCCAGACUCCUACGGGAGGCAGCAGUGGGGAAUCUUGCACAAUGGGGGAAACCCUGAUGCAGCGACGCCGCGUGAGCGAUGAAGCCCUUCGGGGUGUAAAGCUCUUUCGGCAGGGAAGAUCAUGACGGUACCUGCAGAAGCAGCUGCGGCUAACUACGUGCCAGCAGCCGCGGUAAUACGUAGGCAGCAAGCGUUGUUCGGAGUUACUGGGCGUAAAGGGUGUGUAGGCGGUUUCUUAAGUUUGGUGUGAAAUCUCCCGGCUCAACUGGGGGGGUGCGCCGAAUACUGAGGGACUCGAGUGCGGGAGAGGAGAGUGGAAUUCCUGGUGUAGCGGUGAAAUGCGUAGAUAUCAGGAGGAACACCGGCGGUGUAGACGGCUCUCUGGACCGUAACUGUCGCUGAGACACGAAAGCGUGGGUAGCAAACAGGAUUAGAUACCCUGGUAGUCCACGCCCUAAACGAUGCAUAUUUGGUGUGGGUCAUUCAGUUGAUCCGUGCCGGAGCUAACGCGUUAAAUAUGCCGCCUGGGGAGUACAGUCGCAAGGCUGAAACUCAAAGGAAUUGACGGGGGCCCGCAC